rnacentral:lncRNA from 1 species
AACCUGAAGGCAUCCUGAAACCUCAGGAGGAGCAGGCAGCCGAGCUGUCCAGGUCUGCAGUGGAACUGGGGAACCAGAUGUUGACACACAUAGGGAACACUUGCUGCAGUUGGAAGGUUAUCAUCUUCUCCCUCCGUCGCAGAAUCAGGGACCUGCUGUCUCGGGAUGGCCCUGGGAGUCGUGAGGGGCAGAGCCACCGAGACCAUGCUGAGGGGCACAAGCUGGCCGAGCCCCUCGCCCUCCAGCCCUGCCCAGAACCGGGCUCCUGGAGAACAGCAGCCUCGCCCAGCAUCCUCACAGGAAGGAGAGGUGGCAGCGGGAGGCAUGUGCGAUUCCUCACAGCCUCGGCUGAGGCUCGCGCCCAGGGGACCUGUCCCCAAGGGCUUCCCAGCCCAACCUUCGAGGUGCCCGAGGACCACUGUGUGGGAACACAGCCGGGUCAGUACCUUGACCGUGGAGCCGGCAGAGCCACCCUGAGCCUUUCUUCUGCCCCCUGGAGAUUCAUAGGCCACACUGAUGCCGGACAGCAGUGGCUCCACUCGACAGAGCACAUCUCAUGUCCACCGCGACUUCCUGAUCUUUGCCUUGUCUACCUGGUAGCUAGCGGUUGUUAGAAUUUUCCCAGAGUAAUUUUAAAUCGGGAAUACUUUGCUCCCCGCAACACCAUCUUAUCAUUCCUGCUCAU